rnacentral:rRNA from 1 species
AUUGAACGCUGGCGGCACGCCUUACACAUGCAAGUCGAACGGCGGCACGGGAGCAAUCCUGGUGGCGAGUGGCGAACGGGUGAGUAAAGUAUCGGAACGUGCCCAGUCGUGGGGGAUAACGUAGCGAAAGUUACGCUAAUACCGCAUACGAUCUAUGGAUGAAAGCGGGGGAUCGCAAGACCUCGCGCGAUUGGAGAGGCCGAUAUCAGAGUAGGUAGUUGGUGGGGUAAAGGCUCACCAAGCCGACGAUCUGUAGCUGGUCUGCGAGGACGGCGAGCCACACUGGGACGAGGAGACGGCCCAGACGCCUACUGGAGGCAGCAGUGGGGAAUUUUGGACAAUGGGCGAAAGCCUGAUCCAGCCAUGCCGCGUGCAGGAUGAAGGCCUUCGGGUUGUAAACUGCUUUUGUACGGAACGAAAAGGUUUGGGCUAAUAAGCUGAGCUCAUGACGGUACCGUAAGAAUAAGCACCGGCUAACUACGUGCCAGCAGCCGCCGUAA